rnacentral:rRNA from 1 species
ACGGGAGGCACAGUGGGGAAUAUUGCACAAUGGGGGAAACCCUGAUGCAGCGACGCCGCGUGAAGGAAGAAGUAUCUCGGUAUGUAAACUUCUAUCAGCAGGGAAGAUAAUGACGGUACCUGACUAAGAAGCCCCGGCUAACUACGUGCCAGCAGCCGCGGUAAUACGUAGGGGGCAAGCGUUAUCCGGAUUUACUGGGUGUAAAGGGAGCGCAGGCGGUUUUUUAAGUCUGAUGUGAAAGCCCGCGGCUCAACUGCGGGACUGCAUUGGAAACUGGAGAACUAGAGUGUCGGAGGGGCAAGUGGAAUUCCUAGUGUAGCGGUGAAAUGCGUAGAUAUUAGGAGGAACACCAGUGGCGAAGGCGGCUUGCUGGACGAUAACUGACGCUGAGGCUCGAAAGCGUGGGGAGCAAACAGGAUUAGAUACCCUGGUA